UACGGAGGGAGCUAGCGUUGUUCGGAUAUACUGGGCGUAAAGCGCACGUAGGCGGCGCAGCAAGUCAGGGGUGAAAUCCCGGAGCUCAACUCCGGAACUGCCUUUGAAACUGCAGUGCUAGAAUCCUGGAGAGGCGAGUGGAAUUCCGAGUGUAGAGGUGAAAUUCGUAGAUAUUCGGAAGAACACCAGUGGCGAAGGCGGCUCUCUGGGACGGUACUGACGCUGAGACGCGAAAGCGUGGGGAGCGAACAGG
rnacentral:rRNA from 1 species